UGGAAAACAGUGCUCCGAUUACAAGCUGGUCGCUGUGCCUCAUUCGUCUUGUCAUCAACUCCUGUCAGUUUAUCGAAGCUCCAAAAGCGAAGUUGUUUUAGCUUUUGCUUCCCAAGAUUUAUUUGAUAGUCUCAUUUCUGUUUCCUUCGUUUAUUCUUUAGUUCAUUAUUGGAAAACUUUACAGCGUGCCAGUACUGGUCAUAAACCCCAAGUAAGACAGUCUUGUCAUCACGGAGCGUGUAGUUCCAGCAAGUAGACAAUUCAAGUGCUGUGUAGUGAAGUAAUUGCUGAGAUAGUGUAUGGAAGCACAGAGUACACCAUUCAUCCAACAAGUAAUUGCUGGAGGAGCAAAUAGGGACACCUAACCAUUGCAGGGGCGACUCAGGAUAUCCUUUCUGGAAGAAAAGUCUGAUGAAAUCUGAAGGACCACUGGUUGAAAUUAGCCAGGAAAGAAAAGAUGUUGCAGCAUACUUGGUUUUGCUGUUUAUCCUCCGAGUACUUUAUUGUUAUGAAAGCCUAAUUCCACUGUGUAACUUCCAUGCAUAACACUCAGAAGUACAGUGCUGAAGCAGGUUAGUAGCAGUGAAGAUGGGAAGGACCAGCUGAAUGGAGGAGAAAAAUUGCCCAGGUAGAAUUAAGGGGGAUGUGACAUCAUGGGAUAAUGGUAGGGUGGUCAGAGAGAGCAAAGAUUUCAACUGGCUGCGCUGGAGUUGGUAUCCUUAAUGUUAGCAGAAGAAUGCAGAUCCGGGGUUGAGAAAGAUUUUUACAUAUGUUAUUGUUUUUAGAAAACAAACAAAAAAAAUCUGUUUAUGUCAGGGGCAUUUUAAUAUAGAAGUGUGAAAAAUGGAAAAUCAGUCUGAAAGGGGACGUCUUGAAUGUCGUUUUGAAGGUGUUGCGUUUGAAGUACUGAUGAGAUGCUGUCAGUGGAAACAAACUCAGGUGGGAGGUUAGGUUUAGAAUUUUAUUAUAUUAGUGGUUUUUUUUUUUGUUUUUUUUUUUUUUUUUGAGACGGAGUCUCGCUCUGUCGCCCAGGCUGGAGUGCAGUGGCGCGAUCUCGGCUCACUGCAAGCUUCGCCUCCCGGGUUCACGCCAUUCUCCUGCCUCAGCCUCCCGCGUAGCUGGGACUACAGGCGCCCGCCACCACGCCCGGCUAAUUUUUUGUAUUUUUUUAGUAGAGACGGGGUUUCACUGUGUUAGCCAGGAUGGUCUCGAUCUCCUGACCUCGUGAUCCGCCCGCCUCGGCCUCCCAAAGUGCUGGGAUUACAGGCGUGAGCCACCGCGCCCGGCCUAUAUUAGUGUUAUGGAGUUAUUUAUACAUGGUUUUCCUAUAACGUAGAUUGCUUUCUGUGGUAUGAUAGCAGUCUUGAAAGAAAACACGGUAGUAAAGAUUAUAUGUGAGAUUCAUUCCCCUGAUUACCACCUUUCUGUUAAAAUACCUUUAGUAUUAACUAUUUAUUUAGAGCCGGAGUUUCGCUCUUACUGCCCAGGCUGAUCUCGACUCACCGCAACCUCUGCCUCCCAUGUUCAAGAGAUUCUCCUGCCUCAGCCUCCCAAAUAGAUGGGACUAUAGGCAUGCACCACCACACCUGGCUAAUUUUGUAUUUUUAGUGGAGAUGGGGUUUCUCCAUGUUGGUCAGACUGGUCUCGAACUCCUGACCUCAGGUGAUCUGCCCCCCUCAGCCUCCCAAAGUGCUGGGAUUACAGGCGUAAGCCACUGUCCCCGGCCAACUUUAUUUUUUAUUAUUAUUAUUAUUAUUAUUAUUAAUUAGUUUUGAGACAGAAUCUUGCUGUGUCCCAGGCUGGAGUGCAGUGGCACAAUCUCGGCUCACUGCAACCUCUGUCUCCUGGGUUCAAGCGGUUCUUGUACCUCAUCCUCCCGAGUACAGUAGCUAUGUUACCUAUGUUACGUAAUCCUUACAAUCUUAAAGGACAGGCACAUACCACCACGCUGGGCUCAUUUCAUAAUUUUUAGUGGAAACGGGGUUUCAUUAUGUUGGCCUGCCUGGUCUCCAACUCCUGACCUCAGGUGUUCCACCCGCCUCCGCCUCCCAAAGUGUUGGGAUUACAGGUGUGAGCCACUGCUCCCGGCCAAUAUUAACUUUAAAUGUAAAAUAAUAGAUUAUUUUCCUAGAUUGUACCAUAUAUUGAAUAUUAUGAGAGUCCUUGUGUACUUAGUAUGAGGAUACUAGUUUGCAAUUGUUUUUUCAUUCUAAUUUAAAAGUGCCUCUUUUGAUAGCCUCUGACGUUUUCAUAAGCAGAUCAAAUAGUUUGGUUCAGCAUUUUUUGAAAUUGCAUUUUCUCUUUCAUGCAACUAUCCUUAGCCUGUGGCUACCAUUAUCUGGCUUUGAGAACUUGAUAUGGUAUUAACCUAAGGUCGGAUACAGCUCUUGAGCUCACCUGCAUCAGAAGCACCUGCGUCGUAUUUAAAAUGCAGAUCCCUGAACCCCAUUUCAAGCUUACAAACUAAGAAUCUCAGCAAUCUGUGUUUUAAGUCGGCUGCCUAUGUGAUUUGUAUAACCUCUAGAGAUUCGUAACCACUAACUUAACGUCUGUGGGCAGCAGUUUGUUCUGUAAAACGAGAAUAAUAAAAUCUGUGCUUUAAGAUUGUAAGGAUUAAAUAACAUAGGUAACAUAGCUACUGUAAUGUGGUCCCCUGACCAGCAGCAUUAGCAACACCUGGGAGUUUGUUAGAAAUGGAAAUUCUCAAGUGUCUCCUGGAAAAAGCUACUGAAUCAGAGUAGUUUGGUGGGACCAAAGAAUCUGUAUUUUAGCAACAGCAUAGAUAAUUUCUAUGGGCCAGGCACAGUGGCCCAGGCCUGUAAUCCCAGCACUUAGGGAGGCCUAGGUGGGCGGUGGGAGUUCUAGGUGGGCAGAUUCCAGGAGUUUCUGGGUGACGUGGGGAAACCUGUGUCUACAGAAAAUUAGUCCCAACUACUCAGGAGGCUGAGGUGGGAGGAUCGCCAGAGCCCGGGGAGGUUGAGGCUGCAGUGAGCCAAGAUCACGCCACUGCACUCCAGCCUGUGUGACAGAGUGAGACCCUGUCUCAAAAAAAAAAAAUAAUUUCUAUGCAUAUUAAAGUUUGAGAAGCAGUGCUGUAGCACAUCAGCUUCAUAAAAGUAGGGACUAUGAAAUUCUUAUUUACUAAUAUAUUGUCAGUACCUAGUAUAGUGCCCAGCACAGAGUAGAUAUUCACUAUAUUUAAUGAAUGAUUUUUUAAAUAUACCCUCUUACUGAAACCAACACAUUCAGAGUUUUUAAAGUUCUUCAGUAAUCAAAUACCAAAAGAGAUUUUUAACCCUACAGAAUAAAAUUGGGUAUUUGGGUUACUUAGAAUUAGGACAUCUUUUGCAUGAGUCUAAUAUAGAUGCAAUCAUUUGUGGUGUUCUCUUUCAUAAAUGUAUCUAAUGAAGAAAGCAAAAAUGACAUUUCUAGCCAUUGAUUAUUCUCUUUUCUGUUCCAUUUUAGCUUAGCUUACAAGUGGUUAUGGGUUAAGUGUAAGUGGCAUGUAGCUUGAUGAAAAUGAUGAUCAGGUUAACACCCACUCAGUUUUUGAAAGUAAUCUUUUUGAUUGAUAGAAAUUUAUUUUCAUAUUUAAUUAUAACUUUUUUUUUUAAUUGAGACGAAUUUUGCACUGUCGCCUGGGCUGGAGUGCAAUGGUGUGAUCUAGGCUUACUGCAACCUCCGCCUUCCGGGUUCAAGCGAUUCUCCUGCCUGAGCCUCCCAAGUAGCUGGGAAUUACAGGUGCGUGCCACCACGCUCGGCUCAGUUUUUGUAUUUUGAAUAGAGACGGGGUUUCACUACGUUGGCCAGGCUGGUCUCAAACUCCUGACCUCGUGAUCCACUCGCCUCAGCCUCCCAGAAUGUUGGGAUCACAGGCGUGAGCCACCGCGCCCGGCCUAAUUAUAACUUUUUAAAGAGGUGUUAUAUCAUGUUAAGAUCAAGGACUUGCAGUCAGUCAGAUCUGGAUUUGAGAAUAAUAAAUUGUCAUUUAUUAACCAUGUCAGAGUUUUUCUACCAAACUCUGGGGUAAAUGGUGGGAAGGAACAGAUUUGGGAGCACCAGCACCCCCAGGCCUCCCCUGGCCACCCCAAGGAGCAGGUGAUCAAUAUCUCAGCAUACCUCUACUUAUUUGUGGCACUCCAGUGUGUCUUAGGCCUUAGUGAGCUGUGAGGUGCAUGACCUUAGGUAAGUUACUUCUCUGAUUUUCAGUUUCCUUAUCUGCAAAAUGGAGACCUUAGGGAGUUAAUGUGGGUAUGAGAAAUGUACAUAAAACAUAUUGCACAAGGUGAGGCAUGUAGUGUAUGCUAAUAAAUGGUAAGUUGCUGCUGCUAUGGUUGUUAACAAUAAUUAUAAAAAGCAAAUGGAAAAGGCUUGAAUUGAAAAAAAUUUAGACACAUAGUUUUUUUCCUUAUUAGCCUGCACUGUAUUUUUCAUUUUUUUAAAUGCAUCUUUCCAGGACAAAAAAUAAUAUCCAAAGAUAUUUUGGCGCUAAUGGCGCUAUCUGUAGCAAGAAAGUUGAGCAGUGUGAACUGUUGAGACUUCCAAGAAGACUUCAGAGAACCAAGACAGUGUAAAGGAAAACAGGAAAAAAGACUUGUUAGACAUUAUUAAGGGCACGAAAGUUGAAUUGAGCACAGUAAAUGUACAAACAACAAAGCCACCCAACAGAAGUUCACUUAAAAGCUACAACUGGCGGGCCUCAAAGAGCUACAGAGCAUGCUCCAAAGGAGAAAUGAGCCCCUGAGUCCUGAGUUGGUGGCAGCUGCAUCUGCUGCUCUGUUUUGACAAGCAAACAAGCCAAAACUGCUCAGGCAGCUCCGUAGCAUGAGGAAGAGUCAGGGGCACAGAGAGAUGGAGAGAGACCUAAUUAGGAAAAACAUAUUCAAGGGGAAGAGAUGUAAUAGUUUUGACGUGACGACAGUUACUAAAGAAGCACCUGAACAGACACAUCACCUUCACUUUGGGAUGUGGAAUUUGCUAAGUAAGCCACAGAAAAUGAACAUCCCUUCAGAAUGGGUUUGAAGAGCUGAUCCAGUGGAUUAAAGAGGGGAAACUGGGAGUUCCCAAUUAACAAUGAAGCAGGAGCUGACUAAGGCUUUGGAACAGAAACCAGAUGAUGCACAAUAUUAUUGUCAAAGAGCUUAUUGUCACAUUCUUCUUGGGAGUUACUGUGGAUCUGUAAAUAACUGACGAAAAACCCAUCUGUUUCUACGUAGUUGCUGUUGCCGACACAAAGAAGUCUUGUGAACUCAAUCCAAAUAAUUCCACUGCUAUGUUGAGAAAAGGGGGCUGGCGGCAUGGAGUCUUGCUCUGUCACCCAUCCUUGAGUGCAAUGGCACCAUCUUAGUUCACUGGAGCCUUGAAUUCCAGGGCUCGAGCCAUCCUUCUGCCUCUGCUUCCUGAGUAGGUGGGACUACAGGCAUGUGCCACCAUACUGAGCUAAUUUGUUAAACAUUUUUUUUUGUAGAGACGAGGUCUUGCUACGUUUCCCAGACUGGUCUCUGAACUCCCGGCCUCAAGUGAUCCUACUGCCUUGGACUCCCAAAGUACUGGCAUAAUAGACAUGAGCCACUGCACCUGGCUCCUAAGUUCUUUUCUUGAAUAAUAUCUUUCUUUUCUUUUUUUUUAUUUUUUGAGGUGGAGUCUCACCCUGUUGCCCAGGCUGGAGUGCAAUAGCGUGAUCUCGGCUUACUGCAACUUCUACCUCCCGGGUUCAAGUGAUUCUCCUGCCUCAGCCUCCUGAAUAGCUAGGAUUACAGGUGUGCGCUACCACGCCUGGCUAAUUUUUUGUAUCUUUAGUAGAGAUGGGGUUUCACCAUGUUGGCCAGGCUUGUCUCAAACUCUUGACCUCGUGAUCCACCUGCCUUGGCCUCCCAAAGUGUUGGGAUUACAGGCGUGAGCCACCACGCCUGGCCAAGUAAUAUCUUAGUAUCAUGCCAUUGACAUUUAUCCUCUAAUUAUUUCAGAGGUGGCCUUCAGAAGGAGGCCUCUUUGGUAAAAUUGCUAUUGAGGAUAUUUCACUGAAAAAUUUAUCUUUAAAUUUAAAUCCAGGAAAAAUUUAAACUUUUAGGCUUCUAUUUUUAUCAGACAGGGUAAAAAAUUUAUGACUCAGAAUAUUACCUUUUCCCCUCUGUGUGUGAUGGAUUGCUUGAUUUUAGUUACUGAUUAUUUAAAAUAAUAAGUUAUUCAAAUCUAGGAUUUUGAUACAAUAGUUCUUCUCUAGAAUAUAGUGUGUGUGUGAGAGUAUAUUUAAAAUUUUUAUUAAGGCCCAUGGGGCAGCCUUUGAGGAAACCAGACCUUGGGGAUCGCCAGGCAGGAUUAGUGGCAGGAAUUGAGAGAACAGAGCCCCGCAGAGCUCGUCGGGGACCGUCCCCCAGUCACAAGAGUAUCUCAAGGAAGUAGUCUUCUCCCACAUUCCCCAAAGAUAGCUACCAGAGGGUCAGUCCUCUGAACCCUUCUCAGUGUAGAAAAGACAAGUGUCAAAGCUUCCCCACUCAUCCUAAGUUUGCCUUCUAUGACAAUAUGUCACUUGGCCUCACUGAGGCUGAGCAGAGGAUGCUGGACCUCCCAGGAUAUUUUGGGUCAAAUGAAGAGGAUGAAACCACAAGUACACUUAGCGUGGAGAAGCUGGUGAUCUAGCCUGAGAAUCAGCCUGAGCUUUACACAGCUAGGGUCUGCUACUCGCGUUUUGUAGACUUUUGUGUAACUAUUUGUACCGUAGGACAGAAUGUGAGGAGGAAGUAACACACAGAGGAGGAUGUGUGUGUAUGCAUGUGUUUGAAUUCACAAGGAAGAAAUUAUUUAUCUUGAGCUUUUUCCUUUGUUAUUCAGUUUUUAUUGGUUUAUUACUAAUAAUGAUAAUAAAAUGUAAACAAGAGCAAA